GAGUAAUAAGACGGACUAAGACGAGAUCCUUUUUUUAGAGCUUAGGACUUAGAAUUAAGUAACGAAUUAAGAGAUAAACAAGAAAAUGUAUUUUCGUUUUUUUUUUAAUGCAUUAACUGAAAUAUUUCCACACUAUUAGUUAUAGAUCCAAUACACUAAUAAACGCUAGUUUUUUAUAUUGCUUGUUGGUCUUAGAUCCAUAGUCUACUAAAUAGGGAGGGGUUACGGAGUUACUAUGUUUAGUACAAAGUGUAAAUUUCCG